CACGGUGGUUUUGCUGGAGGGGUCACACCCGUUCCCAUUCCGAACACGGAAGUUAAGCCCUCCGAGGCCGAUGAUACUAUGACCGCGAGGUCAUGGGAAAGUAGGACGCCGCCGGAU
rnacentral:rRNA from 1 species